rnacentral:rRNA from 1 species
UACGAGGGGGGCGAGCGUUGUUCGGAAUUAUUGGGCGUAAAGGGUGCGUAGGCGGUUUGUUAAGUCUGCUGUGAAAUCCCCGGGCUCAACCUGGGAAUGGCAGUGGAUACUGGCAAGCUAGAGUGCGGUAGAGGGUAGUGGAAUUCCCGGUGUAGCAGUGAAAUGCGUAGAGAUGUGGAGGAAUACCGAUGGCGAAGGCAGCCUCCUGGGCCAACACUGACGCUCAUGCACGAAAGCGUGGGGAGCAAACAGG